rnacentral:rRNA from 1 species
CCUACGGGUGGCAGCAGUGGGGAAUAUUGGGCAAUGGGCGCAAGCCUGACCCAGCAACGCCGCGUGAAGGAAGAAGGCUUUCGGGUUGUAAACUUCUUUUAAGAGGGAGGAGCAGAAGACGGUACCUCUUGAAUAAGCCACGGCUAACUCCGUGCCAGCAGCCGCGGUAAUACGUUGGUGGCAAGCGUUGUCCGGAGUUACUGGGUGUAAAGGGCGUGUAGCCGGGCUGACAAGUCAGAUGUGAAAUCCCUGGGCGCAACCACGGAACUGCAUUUGAAACUGUCGGUCUUGAGUAUCGGAGAGGCAGGCGGAAUGCCUAGUGUAGCGGUGAAAUGCGUAGAUAUUAGGAGGAACACCAGUGGCGAAGGCGGCCUGCUGGACGACAACUGACGGUGAGGCGCGAAAGCGUGGGGAGCAAACAGGAUUAGAUACCCGUGUAGUC